AUUGAACGCUGGCGGCAGGCCUAACACAUGCAAGUCGAGCGAGCGGCGGACGGGUGAGCAAUGUCGGGGAAACUGCCUGAUGGAGGGGGGUAACUCCAGGAAAAGGCCGCUAAUACCCCAUACCAUAAGAUGUGCCCAGAUGGGAUUAGCUAGUAGGUGGGGUAAUGGCUCACCUAGGAGCAGAUCCCUAGCUGGGCUGAGAGGAUGACCAGCCACACUGGCACGGAUACACGUUCCAGACUCCUACGGGAGGCAGCAUUGGGGAAUAUUGCACAAUGGGCGCAAGCCUGAUGCAGCCAUGCCGCGUGUAUGAAGAAGGCCUUCGGGUUGUAAAGUACUUUCAGCGAGGAGGCGUUACUCGCAGAAGAAGCACCGGCUAACUCCGUGCCAGCCGCCGCGGUAAUUC
rnacentral:rRNA from 1 species